rnacentral:rRNA from 1 species
UGCCAGCCGCCGCGGUAACACGGGGGGCGCAAGCGUUAUUCGGAAUUAUUGGGCGUAAAGGGCGCGCAGGCGGUCUUGUCAGCCAGGUGUGAAAGCCCGAGGCUCAACCUCGGAACUGCCUUUGAUACUGGCAAUCUUUGAGUCCGGGAGAGGUGAGUGGAAUUCCGAGUGUAGAGGUGAAAUUCGUAGAUAUUCGGAAGAACACCAGUGGCGAAGGCGGCUCACUGGCCCGGUACUGACGCUGAGGUGCGAAAGCGUGGGGAGCAAACAGGAUUAGAUA